ACUAAUAGAAGAAGACUGACCCGCUCUAUCAGUAAGGUAUGAAAGUGUCGUUCUGAAAUGUUUCAAAGUGUUGCGAAAUUAUGCAGAGCAUAGUUUACGUAACAGCGCGUCACGUCAUGAGACACAAUACGUUCUGCAACGGGAUAACGUAAUGUGCGUGACAGUUCCUGAAACACAAUACUACAAUGUUCACGUAACGGUUCAUUGCAGUCGAACGUCUGUGAAGUGGCAACGGUAUCAUCUUGCAGGGUUCCUCUCUGUGACAUUACGGUGCAACGCUCUGUGAAACGUUAUCUCUGUACACCAUAUGCCCCGUAUUUCAGCGUCGACGUUUAACGUUUCGUUUCAUCCGGUUGUUCCUUCGCCCGUGGCUCUUGCCGAGAACAAAUUUUUCUCAAUGUGCACCAGAGAACAGGUUCGAUUAUGCUCACGUUUUCCUAGCAGUCGUGAGUAAAUUCUUGGCGAUGGUCGCUGGUGCCAUUAGGCUAUUUGCAUGAUCCGGCGUAAAUGGCGUGCAAGAAGAUAUCGGGGCAGCAGAAAAUGGAAUUCCUUGAAAGGAGGGACUCGAGGCGGCUCCAUUCGACAAGGUAUAUUACGCCUCUUAUGCAAAUCCGCGUUCGACGACCUUUGCCGCAGCCUGAUUAAUGACGGUUCGACAUUCAUAGACAAUACGCAUCCGGUGGAUAAUGUUUAAUUAGCGAUGCCUCAUUUAAACGAUGUCCACAUUAAUUACAGUCUUAAGGUAGAAUAGCUAAACGUCAAUAAAUGCUGCUGCUUACUAAA